rnacentral:sRNA from 1 species
AGUUCGACCGGGUCGACUGCUCGCGUCACCACCAGAUAGUCACGCAUGACGAUCCCAUGCCGGUUCUC